rnacentral:rRNA from 1 species
UACGGAGGGUGCAAACGUUGCUCGGAAUCAUUGGGCGUAAAGCGCACGUAGGUGGCCUGUUAAGUCGGGUGUGAAAUCCCUGGGCUCAACCCAGGAAGUGCACUCGAAACUGGCAGGCUUGAGUACUGAAGAGGGUCGCGGAAUUCCCGGUGUAGAGGUGAAAUUCGUAGAUAUCGGGAGGAACACCAGUGGCGAAGGCGGCGACCUGGGCAGAUACUGACGCUGAGGAGCGAAAGCGUGGGGAGCGAACAGG